rnacentral:rRNA from 1 species
UACGUAGGGGGCAAGCGUUGUCCGGAUUCAUUGGGCGUAAAGCGCGUGUAGGCGGCUGGGUAAGUCCGCUCUGAAAGCCCGGGGCUCAACCCCGGGAGGCGGGUGGAGACUGCUCAGCUCGAGUCCGGAAGAGGAGUGUGGAAUUCCUGGUGUAGCGGUGAAAUGCGCAGAUAUCAGGAGGAACACCAAUGGCGAAGGCAGCACGCUGGGACGGUACUGACGCUGAGACGCGAAAGCGUGGGGAGCAAACAGG